rnacentral:rRNA from 1 species
UACGGAGGGUGCAAGCGUUAUCCGGAUUCACUGGGUUUAAAGGGUGCGUAGGUGGGCUUGUAAGUCAGUGGUGAAAUCUCCGAGCUUAACUCGGAAACUGCCAUUGAUACUAUAGGUCUUGAAUCUUCUGGAGGUCAGCCGGAACUAUGUCAUGUAGCGGUGAAAUGCUUAGAUAUGACAUAGAACACCAAUUUGCGAAGGC